CUCCCCUCGCGGGCCGGGCCUGGUGUGCGCGUCUGGAUGGCCUCGGGCCUGGAAGGUUUGCGAGGCCCCGGGAGCCGCAGACCGCGCCGGGGAGGAGAUCCCGGCAGGCCGGCCGGGGCAGAGCGCCAAGGAGGGCGGCGGAACCUUGGCUGUUUGCCGGGAGGCCAAGGGCAGCCCUCCCGCGUGAUCCGCGCGCUGCAGAGCGCGUCGGCCAUCUGACGCCGGGGUGGCGACGGGAGAGCCCGACCGCGAAGCUCGGCCGCGGGAGUGCGUGGGCGUCGCAGAAGCCCAGGAGAGCCCUGGACCUUGGUAGCUUCCCGGGGGUGCUGAGCCUCCGAGCCUCAAGUGAAUCGGAUGGCGCCAGUCGCCCUCCUUUUUGCCCCAUAUUCAAAGAGCGGAAAGUCAGAGUUAGUUUCCAACAGAAUCCGUCUCUUCCCUUCUCUGCCCACCUUGAGUAGCAGUGAGGGUCGGCACCCUGUGAUACUGGCCAGGAAAGGGUUGUUGCAAGGGGAUCAUGGGAUUGUUGAAUGGGUUUUGAUCUGGAUUUUGAUGUUGGAAAUCAAGUUCCCAAAUGUUUUCAACCUUGGGGAUCAGCAGGGUCAAGAUGUGGCUGGAUGUGAAUCCUCCAUCCCUUCAUCUGGCUGGCAGACUUAGAGCAAGAACCCAAAGACGUGGUGUGGCCACUCUGACAGUGGUCUGGAUGACCUUCUGCUUAGGUUCCCUUGUCUCCUCCAGUCUUGUCACCCAAAGUCCCAAAUACCCUCUUCUGGCUGAAGCUUGUCAGCAGGAGGCCACCCACACAGUAGCCUGGAGCGUGAACUGGCUGUGCAGGCCACCUGCCUCUCCUGGGAGUCCUGCGUGCCAUGGCUCUUUGAUUUCUUCUUAGAACUGUAUCUCUUGCCUGGCCACUUUUGCACAGCCAUUUGGCAGGGCCUUUGCACCAGUGAAGGUGCAGAGCUGGCAAGGAGGAGGCCACAGCCGGCAGGCAGAGCCACGGCGGCAGAAGAGAGGCCCUGUGCUGAUGGUGGCCACCUGCUUCUCUGGCAAGUGUGGUUGAGGGCCGUUUCCAUAGGCACACCUUGCUCUCUUUCUGGGUCCCAUCUGUCCUUCAUCAUCUUCAUUAAUGCACAGUGUUCCCUGUCACUUGAGGGAAGUGCUGUUGGUUGUAUAAAGGCUUGAGACAACUCUUUGCUUACAUUUUAUAUUUUGUUUAUAUUUUCUAAGCCUUUAGCUCUGGAGUCCAACUCUCGGGGUCCAGCAUCCUUUAAGACCCGAAAAGCACAAACUUCAGGAGGCCAAAAGCCCUUACUCCUAGGCCCUGUGGACUUGGUUUAUCUCUGAUUCCAGGCAGUGCCUCCUGCUUUAUAUAGAGGGCUAUAAUCAACAGGAGGAAUGACUAGGGGAUGGGUGAUGAAUGUUCUUCCAAGUUGCUCCCCUUGACUGUGGCAGGAGAGCUGGGG
rnacentral:lncRNA from 1 species